AUUGAACGCUGGCGGCAUGCCUUACACAUGCAAGUCGAACGGUAACAGGUCUUCGGAUGCUGACGAGUGGCGAACGGGAGAGUAAUACAUCGGAACGUGCCCGAUCGUGGGGGAUAACGGAGCGAAAGCUUUGCUAAUACCGCAUACGAUCUACGGAUGAAAGCAGGGGACCGCAAGGCCUUGCGCGGACGGAGCGGCCGAUGGCAGAUUAGGUAGUUGGUGGGAUAAAAGCUUACCAAGCCGACGAUCUGUAGCUGGUCUGAGAGGACGACCAGCCACACUGGGACUGAGCCACGGCCCAGACUCCUACGGGAGGCAGCAGUGGGGAAUUUUGGACAAUGGGCGAAAGCCUGAUCCAGCCAUGCCGCGUGAAGGAUGAAGGCCUUCGGGUUGUAAACUGCUUUUGUACGGAACGAAAAGACUCUUUCUAAUAAAGAGGGUCCAUGACGGUACCGUAAGAAUAAGCACCGGCUAACUACGUG
rnacentral:rRNA from 1 species